UCGAGGAUCUUUCGCAAUGGGCGAAAGCCUGACGGAGCGACGCUGUGUGAGUGAUGAAGGCCUUCGGGUUGUAAAACUCUUUUGCCUGUGAACAAGAACGAUUCGUGAAUAACGAGUCAAUUUGAGGGUAGCAGGAGAAAAAGCACCGGCUAACUACGUGCCAGCAGCUGCGGUAAUACGUAGGGUGCAAGCAUUAAUCGGAAUUAUUGGGCGUAAAGGGCGCGUAGGCGGAUUGAUAAGUCAGAUGUGAAAUACCAAAGCUCAACUUUGGUGCUGCAUUUGAAACUGUUUUUCUAUGAGGAUUGACGGAGAAAGGGGAAUUCCACGUGUAGCGGUGAAAUGCGUAGAUACGUGGAGGAACACCGGUGGCGAAAGCGCCUUUCUAGUUUAGACCUGACGCUGAGGCGCGAGAGCAAGGGGAGCAAACAGG
rnacentral:rRNA from 1 species